UAAAUGUCUAAAUGCUACAACAAGGGAUAAGGAUAAAACUGUAAAUCCACUAAAUAAAACAUAAAGUGAUACAAGAAAAUCCCAGAUACAAGUGCUAUAGGUAGAUACAUAGGUGGUCUCUAUACAUGGAUACAAAAACCUCUCACUCUCUCAACUACAAAAGAAAGAGUAAACCACCUAGGUNGCCAAACACUCCAAUCAACUCUAACUUUUUAGAGUUAUCAUAAUACCCAAUCAUGAUACUUUCGCUCACAAGUCGAAUAGACCUCGUCUCUCACGAGCCUAUUUCCUAUAGUCCAACCGGCCUAAGGUCUGCUAGAUCCACUAAGACUCAACCCUAGGCUCUGAUACCAAAUUAAUCUGUCACGCCCCGGGACCAAGCGGAAGCCCGCCCGGCGCGUGCCCAGACCCGCCAUACGUCUAAAACGUACAAGGCGUCUAAAAACAACAAUAAACAAAGCAAUAAAAAAAAAAAAGACAUCUAGGAGUAUCAGAGCAUAAUAAAUGCCUAAAUGCUACAACCAGGGAUAAGGAUAAAACUGUAAUUCCACUAAAUAAAACAUAAAGUGAUACAAGGAAAACCCAGAUACAAGUGCUAUAGGUAGAUACAUAGGUGGUCUCUAUACCUGGAUACAAAAACCUCUCACUCUCUCAACUACAAAAGAAAGAGUAAACUACCUAGGCAAAGUACCGCUCCUCGCUAGCUAGCUAAGCGAUCCCCUUGCCGCGAUCCCGUGCCUCCGCCGGUGCCGAAGGCUCUGAAAAGUAAACCAUAAAACAGGGGCGUGAGAACUAUUAAAAAUAGUUCCCAGUGGGCAAUUACUGACUUCAGUGAAUGCACCACGAGGCCCAAAGCUACAAAAGAUGUCAGUGACUAUAAAAGUAGAAAAGCGAAAGGUAAGUAAAAAAAGGUAACUUACUACAACAUGAUAUCUCUACUUAACAUAAUUAGCAUAAGUAUGAAGCAACUAUGCAUGAAGUAAAAGUCUCGAACUAUCAUAAUGCUCACAAUGCGAAAUAGUAAAGUUCCGUUGUUUACUAUUCCGGUCAAUGUCCAAGUAGUACACUAAGUCAUCAUCUGUCCACAUGUCAUAAUGAAUACUCAAAGUCAAAUCUGAAGAGACCCACCCGAAGGCUUUCUAUGGCCCUGAGACCCACCCGUAGGCUGUCUGGCUGGUGCAGAGCCUAAUGGCCCCGUGGUAGUCAUCAUCCCGACCUUAGGAAUGAGCCUGUCCCACGGCAAUCCACUUCGGCGCCCAAUCACGCACGGCGAAUGUGAAUCGCGAUGGCUAUCUCCGGAGUGCCGGCUUGUAGGGAGCGACCCUCACAAGCAUGUGCGAAUGAGCACAAUGGCAAGUAGUCAAACGAUCUGUCGCAAGUACCAAGUCCUCAUGUCUAAUAACAUGGAAUGUGUCAAGUAUCUCAAUGGCCUAUCCCUAUGUCAUCAUGUCUCUAACAUGGAAUAUAGCAGAUAUGUAGUGGCCUAUCAAUAUGUCUCUACGUUGCAGUUUCAUAGUUUACUAGUUUCAAGUGCCUCUUUAUGACACUCUUGUAAUCUAUGCCAAAGCAUGGCAACUAUGUUCCAAAGUACAUAUUCCAAGUCAUAAUCCUCAUAAGUGGUGUAUUUUUCACUUGCAAAUAAACACUUUUCCUAUAUGCAUGCAUUCUACUCAUAUAGCUCUACUAUAUAGUGAAGUUUUCAUAAUACACAAGGCAUGCAUUUUAAGUGCUCUAAAAUUCAUAUAAAUUUCAUUUAGCAUAGAAAUGAAUUUAAAAAAUAUUUUACAACAAAUAGAAAGAGCAUAGGGGUCAUUUCGUUCCAUUUCCACGAAGCCAAACCCACCGUCGUCAACGAAAGCUUUCGUUUGCCACGACGAAGGCGUCCACCACACUCCUAAUACCCUAAAGGUAUGAAAACAAGUGUCAUCUAGUCGAAACGAAUGACGCUAAGUUCAACCAUUAACCAACUCAAGCUAGGGUUGGGAAAAACUCACCUCAAGUGAAAAACCCUCUCUUAAUCUUCAAAUGGAAGGUAGGGGUCUUCCAAUCUAACCUAUAUAAAGGUUCCAAACCCAUCAAAAAGGUUUCAAAGCCCUCAAAUCAAAAAGCCCCAAAUCUAACCCUAGAAUCCCAAUCUAGGGUUUCAUCUAGUAAAACCUAAAAAAACAUGUAUCAAGUAGGGAUUACAUGCUACCAACCUCAAGAGGAGCUUCAAUCCAAGCUCAAAACCAAGUAGGGUUGAAGUUUGAUCCUCCACAAAGCUCCAACCGCAAGCUCGAAGCCACCAAGGUGAGAAAAUGGGGAAGAAGAUGAUGCUCCAAAGCCUCCAAGCAAGCUCCUUCUCCUCUUCUUCUUCUUCUUCUUCUUCUCCCUCUCUUCUUCUCUCUCUAGAAUAGGUGGGAAGGGAAGAAAUGAGGAGAGAAGAGGGUGAAAUGGCCAAAUAGGCCAUUAAAAGCAACAAAAUCCACUUAGGUCCCUCAAAAACUCAAAUUUACAUCAGCCCGGUCUGGGCAGUUUUCGCCCAGAGGGACCGGUCUCCCCGACCUGGGACCGGUCUCUCAGCCUGCCCCCGAAAAUCCAACGUUCGGGAACCGGUCUCUCCCUGCGCGGGACCGGUCUCUCCCCGCGCAGACGCGCUCGGGGACCGGUCUCGACUGCCAGGGACCGGUUGCCUCGCCGGCUGCGCAGCACUGUUCACUGGGGGACCGGUCUCUCCUAUCAGGGACCGGUCCCCGAGAGUAAAAACUCUCAGGACUCUGCCAAAACUCUCGAGAUCGAACUUUUAGGCCGGUAUACCAUCGACGGCCCUCCACCAAGUGUGGAAAAGUUCGGAAUACAAAUCGAACACUCGAACCUCGCAAUUUGCAAAGGUCCAGUGUGCUACAUGUAGUAUGCUAGGAGAUGUUCUUUAAUGCAUCCUUAUAUGCAUUGUAGCCAUGACAAAGUAUCGCUUUCAUAUCUGUACAAAGUAAAUGAUGAUAUUACUUGUGAACAUGUAGAUUUACAUAUCAUCCAUGACAAGAUAAAGUCGCAUUAUAAAUGCCAUGUUUAAUUGUAAGUUGUAGUUUAGCAUCUUAAUUAUGCUUUCUUAUACGCAAUUUACUCGUUACUAUUAUUGUUGGGCUUACCCCCUUCUUUUCUUUCAGGGCCUAGUGGAGCAAUGAGUUGAGGUCUGUAAUUGCCCACUGGGAACUAUAAAUUAUAGUUCUCACGCCCUCUUUUUCUCGAUGUUUUUCUGAGCCUUCCACGCAGGGUAAGGCUAGGAAUCGCGGGAAGGGAGUUGCUUCGCGCUAGCUUCCUUCGAGGACGAGUUGCUAGGUGGUCUACCUCUCGAUAUUUACUUUUUUUAGCGAGAGGUUGAGGGUUUUGCCAGUGUAUAAAGACCACCAUUUUUGUACUAGAGACAGAUAUUGUACUACUUAUGUUUUCUUUUAUUGACUAGCUUUAUUUCUUUACCUUGAUGUAGAUGAUAGAACUUUAUUUGCUCUGAUAUCAUUAGUUGCCAGUUAUUUCACUUCUUUUAUUUGUUCUAUCUCCUGCUUUACUUCCACUUUUAUUGUAGACGCCCGAUAUGUGUAGACAUAUGGCGGGUCUGGGCACGCUACCGGGAGGGCCUUCGCCGGUCCCGGAGCAUGACAUAUUAAUUUGGUAUCAGAGCCUAGGGUUGAGUCUUAGUGGACCUAGUGAACCUUAGGCCGGUUGGACUAUAGGAAUUAGGCUCGUGAGAGGCGGGGUCUAAUUAACUUGUGAGCGAAAGUAUUGUGAUUGGGUUUAUGACAACUCUAAAAAGUUAGAGUUUGAUCGGAGUGUAUGGCUUCUAACUUCGCGGAGGGUUACGUUGGCGGCCGACAACGUAACAUCGGGAGUUAGUAGUGAAGGACACUUCCUUACUUUCGUAUGAUUUGGGGUUUUAUCUAUUUGAGCGGGGAUGCGAUAGCGUGGGUUACUAACUUGCGCUUUUAUGUUUUGUAGUGACGAUGCCGGUUACACGCUCCCAGUUUGCCGGGGCGUAUGACGCGGCACACCCCGAGGAGGUCGAGACCCCCGCUACUUCCGGAUCUAGUGAGGUCCGCGACUUGAGGGGCCAGCUUGCGGUUCUCACGGAUCUGUUGGCGCAGCAGACGGCAGCGGCACAGCGACAGGCUGAGGUGGCUCAGCGGUAGGAGGCGCGGAUGAAGCAUCUUCAGGACCUCCUACUGCAGCAGGCGGCAGCUUCGAGGGAGACCUAGGGUCCCACACAGCCAGCACCCGUGGUGGACGUCGCACCGAGGGCGCAGUCCCCCGCGCCCAGUUCCUCACGUGCGGCACCGGCGACCGCACCUCGGGAGGAGGUGGUUGCGGCAUUACCAGUUUAGAGACCGGCCACGGGAGCAGCUUUUCCCGUGGUGGCCGAGGGAGCCGAGCGGGAUCGGCUUAUGGAUCGCCUCAGCGAGCUCAGGAGGUGCAGCCCGAGGACGUUUGAUGGCGAGAACGUCGACCACUGGAUUGUUGAGAAGUGGUUGAUGCAUAUGGAGAAGCUGUUUCGAGAUACCUUCGUCGAGGAGAGGGACAGGGUUUGGCUCGCCACUCACUUUCUGGACGGCGAGGCCUAUCGUUGGUGAUUGGAUAUCCAGGACAACCCCGACACCGACUUGGCGGCGAUUACUUGGACACGAUUCAAGGAGCUUCUAUUGGCGCACCACUUUCCUACCAGCGUCAAGAGGAAGAUGGAGCAGGAUUUGCGCAGCUUGCGCCAGGAUGAGCGGUCAGUGGCUGAGUACGAGAGGGAGUUCUUCCGGAUACUACACUGUGUACCGUUUGUUGUGAGGGACGACAAGGACAAGGCCCGCAUCUUUGAGUGUGGUUUGCGGCCUUCUAUCUUCCGGUUGGUGCAGUCUUCCAACCUCCAGACCUACCGGGAGGUUGUGGAUCGAGCUUUGAUCGUGGAGGCGGGAGCGGUGGAUCUGCAGGAGCGUCGUGAGAGCUCGGAGAAGGGGAAAGGGAAGAGGCCCGCGGCUGAGGGUGCGAGUCAGAUGCACUCACGGAGGCCGCCGAGGCACCCCAGAAGCCGGAGCCAGUCGCGGGGACGUGGCUCAUCUACUCAGCGAGGAGGACCCGAUCGUCGCCAGGCCCCCCGCUGCGUGAUCUGUGGCGGUCCUCAUUACCCGCGGCAGUGUUCACGCAGCCGGGGCAGGUGCUUCUUGUGUGGCCAGGAGGGCCACUUCCAGUCGGACUGCCCGAGGAGUCCAUUGCCAGCGCCAUCUUCGGCAUCUGCACCAGCUUCGCCAGGUCCCAGUCAGAGGACAUCUUCUGCGCAUCACCAGGCAGGGCGGCCGCUAGUUCUGCGGCAGGCGGAGGGGUCAGGACAGGCCCCGAGCAGGCGCAUAUACGCGGCCCAGACUGAGGAGGCGGCGGCAGCCGAGAAUGUGGUCGCAGGUAUCAUUUUACUUCAUGGUAUUCGAGUUAGAGCUUUGUUUGAUACCGGUGCAUCACAUUCAUUCAUUGAUCGACUGUUUGCUGAGCUGCAUGGCAUCCCACUUGUAUCCCUGUUGCACCCGGGACGAGUCGUUGUACCCGACCAUUCUUUGGACAUUCGGAAGUUUUGCCCCAGCUGCCCUAUUCGGGUUGGAGAUUGGAUCAUGCCCAUAGAUUUGCUAGCCUUGCAUAAACUCAGGGAGUUUGACGUUGUGUUGGGCAUGGAUUGGUUGACUAAGUACUACACCGCUAUCGAUUGCAAAGAUCGAACGGUGAUUUUUAGAGAGCCAGGGCAGGCGGAGGUUGUGUACCGAGGAUGCCAGAGUUCGCUGUUUGCGAUGACGAUUAGCUCCUCUCGAGCUAGGCAGUUGAUUAGUAGAGGCUGCGUAGCCUACUUGGCUACUGUUGUGUUGCGGGGCGAGGAUGACGCCCCUAGGAUUGAGGAUAUCCCCGUAGUGCGGGAGUUUGGAGAUGUGUUUCCAGCGGAGCUUCCAGGCAUGCCCCCUGAUAGGGAGAUUGAGUUUGUGGUAGAUCUCGUCCCCGGGACUACCCCAAUCUCAAAGGCGCCCUAUAGGAUGGCACCAGCAGAGUUGAAGGAGCUGAAGGCACAGUUGCAGGAUCUUCUGGAUAAGGGUUUUGUGCGACCGAGUGUGUCACCUUGGGGAGCACCGGUUUUGUUUGUGAAGAAGAAGGAUGGAUCACUUCGCUUAUGCGUGGACUAUCGUGAACUCAAUAAAGUCACGAUUAAGAACAAGUAUCCAUUACCGAGGAUUGAUGAUCUAUUUGAUCAGCUCCAGGGAUCUUGUGUAUAUUCCAAGAUUGACUUGCAGUCGGGAUAUCACCAGUUGAGGAUCAGACCUGAGGAUGUGUCGAAGACGGCUUUUAGAACACGGUAUGGACAUUAUGAGUUUACUGUUAUGCCGUUUGGGCUUACUAAUGCCCCGGCAGCUUUUAUGGAUCUGAUGAACCGUGUUUUUAAGCCUUAUUUAGACAGAUUCGUUGUGGUGUUUAUCGACGACAUCUUAGUGUAUUCCCGGAGUGACGCGGAUCACGAGGAGCACUUGAGACUUGUACUUCAAGUGCUUCGGGAAAAGAAGCUCUAUGCCAAGUUGAAGAAGUGUGAAUUUUGGCUUAGAGAGGUGGCGUUUUUGGGCCACGUGAUUUCAGGAUCAGGCAUAGCCGUGGACCCGAGGAAAAUUGAAGCUAUCAAGGAUUGGCCGAGGCCGACGAGCGUGACCGAGAUACGGAGCUUCAUUGGUUUGGCCGGCUACUACCGACGGUUUGUCGAGGGAUUUGCGAAGUUAUCUACUCCCCUCACGAGACUCACGCAUAAGGGCACCAAGUUUAUUUGGAAUGAUGCGUGUGAAAGGAGCUUCCAAGAGUUGAAGCAGCGAUUGACGACCGCCCCGAUCCUAACCUUGCCGACUGCCGGGGCAGGGUAUGUGAUUUAUAGUGAUGCUUCCUUUAAUGGAUUGGGCUGUGUUUUGAUGCAGGACGGGAAAGUGAUCGCGUAUGCAUCUCGCCAACUGAAGGAUUAUGAAAAGAAUUACCCCACCCACGACUUGGAGUUGGCGGCCGUAGUCUUUGCAUUGAAGCUAUGGCGCCACUACUUAUAUGGCGAGCGGUGCGAAGUAUAUACGGAUCACAAGAGCUUAAAGUACCUAUUCACUCAGAAGGAGUUGAACUUGAGGCAGCGCAGAUGGUUGGAGCUACUCAAGGAUUAUGAUUUGACGAUACUUUACCACCCGGGUAAGGCUAACGUGGUGGCGGAUGCGCUAAGUAGGAAAUCGACUGAGAACUUAGCGAUGCUUGUGGUUACUCAACCGCCGUUGAUCGAGCAGAUGAAGCGGUUGGAGUUGGAGGUGGUGGCUCCUGAUACACCUUUGAGACUGAUGACUUUGGUGGUGCAACCUACACUUUUGGAAAGGAUUAAAGAAAAGCAAGCUUCCGACUCGGAGUUGCAAAAGGUUCGAACUAAGAUGGUUGAUGGUUGCACCGGUGACUUCACUUUAGACGGUGAUGGAUUGAUGCGUUUCCGCGGACGACUUUGUGUACCGGCGGACUUGGGCAUUAAAGAGGAUAUUCUUCAAGAAGCACAUCGAGCACCGUAUGCUUUACAUCCGGGAGGCACCAAGAUGUACAUGGACUUGAAGUUGCUUUAUUGGUGGCCCGGGAUGAAAAAGGAUGUUGGUGAGUUCGUUGCUAGAUGUUUAACUUGCCAACAGGUGAAGGCUAAGCACCGAGUUCCUGCGGGGAAGCUGCAGAGCCUACCGGUUCCAGUGUGGAAGUAGGAAAAGGUCACCAUAGAUUUUGUGAUGGGAUUGCCUCGCUCACAGGCCGGGCAUGAUGCUAUUGGGUGAUUGUGGAUAGGUUGACGAAAUCGGCACAUUUCAUACCUAUCCACACUACUUGGACUGGUGAGAGACUCGCACAGGUUUAUUUGGAUGAGAUUGUGCGAUUACACGAGGUACCUACUUCCAUAGUAUCAGAUCGAGACCCCCGUUUUGUAUCCCACUUUUGGAGGAGCUUACAGAACGCUCUGGGUACGCGUUUGGACUUCAAUACAGCUUUCCACCCCCAGAGUGACGGGCAGUCGGAGCGUACUAUACAGACUCUCGAGGACAUGCUUCGAGCCUGCGUGAUCGACUUCCAGGGAGGUUGGCCGCAGCAUCUACCGAUGGCAGAGUUUGCUUAUAACAACAGUUAUCAAGCAAGUAUCAAGAUGGCACCAUUCGAGGCACUCUAUGGACGGAAGUGUAGGUCGCCGUUUCAUUGGAGUGAAGUUGGCGAGAGAUUGGCUUUAAGCCCAGAUGUGCUCCAGGAAGCAGAGGACAAGGUUCACAUUGCUCGGGAGCGAUUUUUGAUGGCCCAGAGUAGGCAGAGGAGUUAUGUUGACAGGCGGUGACGAGACUUGGAGUUUCAGAUUGGAGAUCACGUCUUCUUGAAAGUCUCGCCGACUCGAGAAAUUAGACGAUUUGGAAUCCGGGGCAAGUUGAGCCCCAGAUUCAUUGGACCGUUUGAGGUUUUGGAGUGGAUAGGCCCGGUAGCGUAUAGACUUGCCCUACCGCCGAACCUAUCGGGUGUACACAAUGUAUUCCAUGUAUCGGUUCUUCGGAAGUACAUCCACGACCCGGCUCAUGUAUUGGAUGCUACACCUAUGGAGCUGCGGGAGGAUUUGAGCUUUGAGGAGCAACCCUUGAGAAUUUUGGCUCGCGAGGUGAAAAGAUUGCGGAACUGGAAAAUUCCCUACGUGAAGGUGCUUUGGAGCAACCACGACGAGCGCGAGGCCACUUCGGAGUUAGAGAGCGCACUACGGGAGCGCUAUUCCCAUCUUUUUCAGAUGGAGGCUUGAGGUACUUUGUUUGUUUUGAGUUUCGCGGACGAAACUCCUUUUUAGGAGGGGUGAAUGUAACACACUGGACCUUUACAAAUUGCGAGGUUCGAGUGAUUGGCCGUGUUCUGAGCUUUUCCACAUUUUCUGAUGGGUCGUUGACUGUGUUCCGACCUAUGGCACGUGUCCCGAAAUUUGUGGUACAAAGCCUUGCACCAAACCCGAAAAAACGGGAUUUGGCUGACUCUCGGAUUGAGUUCUAGCGGGCUUGUACCGGUACAAGGUUGUGCUUGUACCGGUACAAGGUUGAUGGUUGUACCGGUACAGCCAUCGGAGCUUGUACCGGUACAGAGCCGCAGAGCCCAGCAACCCGAGCCUCGGGUUUGGAUUUCGUGGACCUUGUACCGGUACAAGAGCUCGUGUACCAGUACAAGGGGGCUGAUUUCGUGCAGUUUGAACCGCAGGGGGCUUUUUGCGAUUGUGGACUUCUUAUUAGUACCCCCCACGCCCUAGGGGUCUUCUCCUGAGCUUGGGACCAGUAAGAGGAGAGGUAAGGGAGCCCUCUUUGAUUUCAUUUUGAUCUAUUUGGAUUUUGGUAGGAUUUUAAGAGAUUAAACCUCUCUUUUGCUUCUUUUGCUUGAUUUGAGGCUUUUCUACCUUUGGGGCUUUAUUUUGGAGCUUUGUUGAGGGGAGAUCCUUGGACUUGGAGAGUUUAGAGCUUGGAUUGGAGCUUCUAAGAGGUAAUCUACUUGCUCUCUCCCUCUAGAUUUGAUUUUUGUUGAUGGAUUCAAGAUAAAACCCUGGAUUGACGAAUUAGGGCUUAUUUUGGGCAUUUUGAUUCUAGGGCUUUUGGAGCUAAAUCUUUUGGAUUAGAACCUUUCCCUAGAUUGGAUUGGAAGGGAUUUAGCUCUCUUUUGGAGCUUGGGAGAGAUUUUCCACUCAUUAGGUGAGUUUUAGCCCUUGUGCUAUAAUUGUUAAUGCUUGAUCUUAUAGAUGAUCGUAAUGCUCGUGUAUCUCUUCGCUCAAUACUUUUAGGGUAAUUUGAGACUCGUGGACAACUUCGUUCGGCGAGACGGGGCACUACGCGACGGUUCGGUGGGUUUGACCUAGCCUAUAUAUGAGAAAUUCUCACAUAUGGUUAUGGAUGUUCCGUAAAUUGGAAAAGCAUGCAUAUUCAUACUAAAUGUAUUUAUUAUGAUUUUUAGAAUGUUUAAAAUGCAUAUGUUACAUAUGAUGAAAUUUUGGACCUCUAUGCAGUAGAGAGUUGCUUGGGAGAUCUAUGGUUGCAUUUAGCAUUCUUUAUGAGACUUGGUUUCAUACUUCUAUAGUGUAAAUGAGUUCGGAUUCAUGCAUUUAAACUUAAGUUUACUUGUGACAUGAAAGAUGACAUUUAGAGGUGUUGAACUAGAAGGUAUUAGAGGUGUUGAACUAGAAGGUAUGUGAACUAGAGAGCUAAUGUCAUCAAGCGGCAUUGAGCUCGGGACAUGUGUGAACCUAGCGGAUAGGACCAUUGAGGAAUGUGGAACAUGCUUAAACAUUAAAUGUCUAAGUGUCAUAAAGGGGCACUAGACCUAGAGAAUGUUGGAACUUCAUUUGUGACUUAGAACUAGAUCUUCGAGAUGCUAGUGACUAUACCAUGUUAGAGACAUGAGGGUUGGAUACUUGAGCCAUCGACUAUGCUUGCCAUUUGUGCUCAUUCGCACAUGCUUGUGAGGGUCGCUCCCUACAAGCCGGUACUCUGGAGUUAGCCUACGCGACUUUUGUUCGCUCGUGUGGUAUUGAGAAGCCUACGGGGUCGAAUGGGACAGACACAUUCCAAGAGUAGGGAUGUAGGGCUACCACAGGCACUUAGGCGGCACAAGCUGGACUACCUUGGGUAGGCCCCUUAUUGGAAAUGGGAACCGACACGAUAUUGAGUGUGUGAUAAUCACUACUAGACAGAUAGUAGUAGCUGGAUUACUUGGACUUACUUCUAGCAUAGAUGUGGACAUUUGGGUAUUCAUACAUACAUGUAGUAUGCUAGGAGAUGUUGUUUAUUGCAUCCUUAUAUGCAUUGUAGCCAUGACAAAGUAUCGCUUUCAUAUCUGUACAAAGUAAAUCAUGAUAUUACUUGUGAACAUGUAGAUUUACAUAUCAUCCAUGACAAGAUAAAGUCGCAUUAUAAAUGCCAUGUUUAAUUGCAAGUUGUAGCUUAGCAUCUUAAUUAUGCUUUCUUAUAUGCAAUUUACUCGUUACUAUUAUUGUUGGGCUUACCCCCUUCUUUUCUUUCGGGGCCUAGUGGAGCAAUGAGCUGAGGUCAGUAAUUGCCCACUGGGAACUAUAAAUUAUAGUUCUCACGCCCUCUUUUUCUCGAUAUUUUUCAGAGCCUUCCACGCAGGGUGAGGCCAGGGAUCGCGGGAAAGGAGUUGCUUCGAGCUAGCUUCUUUCGAGGACGAGUUGCUAGGUGGUCUACCUCUCGAUAUUUACUUUUUUUGGCAAGAGGUUGAGGGUUUUGCCAGUGUAUAGCGACCACCAUUUUUAUACUAGAGACAGAUAUUGUACUACUUAUGUUUUCUUUUAUUGACUAGCUUUAUUUCUUUACCUUGGUGUAGAUGAUAGAACUUUAUUUGCUCUGAUAUCAUUAGUUGCUAGUUAUUUCACUUCUUUUAUUUGUUCCAUCUCCUGCUUUACUUCCACUUUUAUUGUAGACGCCUUAUAGGUGUAGGCAUAUGGCGGGUCUGGGCACGCUACCGGGAGGGCCUUCGCCGGUCCCGGGGCGUGACAUGAAGAGUCGACAGUGAUUCGAUGAGUUUGACCUCACUAAAAUGGGUGAAUUAUCCCUAUGUUCUUGCUAUGUUUAUGAUAUUAGCAAUUAUGCAUAAUUAUGCUAGUACCAUUAUGAAUAAGAUGUUGGAUAACUUAGAUGUAUUUGUAUCAUAAGACAAGGUUAAAUCUCUAUAAAGUAGAGAGUUGUAUGCAGUGAACAUAUGAAAAAUGUACUAUAUAAUGGUUAGCAUACUUGUAAGGAAGUGAAUUCUCGAAAUUCGAGGAUUGUACUUCAUCCAGGAUCGACUAACUGUCAAGAGAAUACCCUUUAUGGGAGUUAGAGAUGUCCAAAGCACAAAAAGUGCCUUGGAGUUGAGUCCGCGAGAGCAAAUGAGGCAAACUGCAUCAUUGGGCUGAUGUUGCUCUCGGGGACCGGUCUCUGCAGGUGAGAGACCGGUUCCCUCGGCUGGGUGUAGCGGGGUUGCUUGAUACAACCGGUCCCUGGCAGGGAGGGACCGGUUCCCGAACGUGGUCCCAGCAGAGAAGUCGAAAUUUGGCUAAGUCCUAAAAAUUGAGCUCUCGGGGACCGGUCUCCCCGACCAGGGACCGGUCCCUCUGGACGAAAACUACCCAGUGAAGGCUGUGCAAUGGAUGAAAAGUUGAGGGGUCUAAAUACAAAAUGGCCUUUAAUAGAGUGAGCUGAGCUCUCUCUCUCCCUCACACUCUCUCAUUUCACUCUCUUUCACUCUUAUUGCUCUCUCUAGAGAAGAAAGGAGAAGAAGAAGAAUAAGAGGGAGAUGAAGGAAAAGAAGGAGAAGGAAAGGAAGGAGAAGAAGAAGGAGAUCAAGGAGAAGGCUUUGGGCAACUUCAUCUCCCUCUCCUCUUCUCUUUGGUGUAGCACAAGAGGUAGGCUCUUGAACCCUAGCUUCUAAACUUUGGAGUUUUGGAUUUUGAUGCCUUGGAAUGGGUCAAAUGGACCCUAAAUGAGCUUCUAAAUAGGUCAAUCCCAUAAAUCUAGGGAUUUAUUAGUGGUUUGCUAUAGGUGCAAACCUAGGGCACCAAAAUGGGGUUUUUGUGAAAGUAUGAGAUUGAUCUCAUUUGAAGCUUUGGAAACCCUAUUGUUAGGUCACAAAACGUGGGGGCGAAGUCGAUUUUGGCAUUCGGCAAACCAACAUGAAGUCCUCGGCAAAAUCGGGCUGGGCUAGUGUUGAUUUGGGCGAGGAAGGCUAAAGCCUUUUCGUAAAGCUCGCCGAGAGAGAUUUCCGAAGCCUCUACAUCGAUUAAAAGUAGGGGGUGCCAUCCCAAAGCUUUCGAACUCCUUUCUAUGUCUUAGAUUGCAUUUAAUCUCAUCUCUUCAUGUGCAUUGUAGGAUUGCAUAGUAGCUCCAUUCCUUAUGCUUUCUAAAAGAUAACCUAGUGUACUUGGAACGCUUUGUAACUUAGAUAGGUGAGGAUUGGGUCGGAACGUGGAUCCUAUGAUGCGAAAGAAAAGAGAUGAACCCGAUGGGGGUGUUGAUGACAUGGAAAGUAGUGUUAUUGUCAAAGAACAAACGAGUGGCAUCCAAAUGUUGAAUGAUAACGAGUGGCAUUAAUGUAGUGUAAAUAACACUAGAGGUCGAUGGACCUAGGGAUAGGCGGAUCUCUUAGAAAAUGCAUUGUGAGCAAUGAAUUUAGAAAAGCUAAAUAGCAUUGUAUGAAUGUCGGGAACAUAUGAUCCCGCGAGAAAUGUUGACUCUAGUUGUAGAGCAUCCUUACUAGGAGAGGAUUUGAUUGGUUUGUGGACCCUAGUUAUAGUGCUUCCUCACUUGGAGAGGAUUGGAUUGGGUAGUAGACCCUAGUGAUAGUGUAUCCUCACUUGGAGAGGAUAGAUCUAGCUCACAGUCUGCGUUUAGUAUAGCCAUCCAAUCCCUACAUGGAGGGGAUUGUCGUCGAGUACUCCGGAGUGUCGCGCGACUAGGACCACUUGGAGGUCCGGACCACAUGGAGGUCCGCAGACGGUCCCGGGCUUGGGUGCACUUGGAGCUCCCUCCCCACUUUAGGAUUGAAGGGUGAGUUAUAGGCGAGCCCUAGGGCCUCGCCACAGAAUAGGUAAGUGGAAAAGUUAAAGGUUUAAAAAUGUCAUUGAACAUUACUAUUCGAACAUGGAUCGAAUUUGUUAGCAUGGUAGAAACCUGUAUUACAUGAUGCAUGCAUUCAUAUUUAUGAUUAUGGGCAGAGUAGUAUAGUUUUCCUACUAUCGCAUUUACAGCUUUCAGAUACAUAUCUAUCUAUCUAUCUAUCUGUUGUUGCUUGUGCCCACCUGGACCUAGGAGGGAGAUCGGCAGAGUCGGCGGCCGAGCCCACUGAGAACUAUGGAAGAUAGUUCUCACCCCACUCUAUUUCUAGUGGUAGGUACAAGGUUGCCGAGAGAGGACCGCGGCAAGGGCAUCGCGCCCGACCAGUGAGACCGUGGUAGUAUAGUAGCUUUCCUUUUUGCAUUAGUUCACUUAUGUAGUGAGAGAGAUUCAUUGUAGGUGAGGAUUUGGGAGAGCCAUGUAUUUUGAGAUGGAAAAUGUAUUCAUUUAAAGAAAAUGAUGUAAAUGGGAAUGAUGAAACUAUUGUAAUAGUUAGUAAAGUACUCUCUUUAUUUCACAUGUGUAUCUUGUGUAUUACUUGCUCCUUGUGUUGUUGGCACUGUUUGUGCCCUUGUGGAUGUGUAUGUUUAGAAUUUAAAUUCCUGGGUAAAUUCUUGUACACGUUCCUGUUGUUGAGCAUUGGGCGGACAGGGGAAGUGCUGUCCGUUCGGCUGUCUGCCGCCGCGGCCGAACUGUGCCAAAUUGGUAGUGGUUUCGGGGCGGGGCGUGACAGAGCGUGGUAUCAGAGCACAAGAGCAAGUAAAGAGAGAAAGUUUAGGAUGACCUAGGAGACCCUAGGUUGGUAAGCCCUAAGGUUAUAGGUGCGUGAGCGGAACAGGAACCUAUAGUGAUGGUGGAAGUUAAUUCGAUUGGGUCGAAGUUGGUAAUAUGUCUCUAGUUGUGGUUAGAGACGGAUUCAAGUGGUAUGAGUUCUUGUCUUGAGGUGGUUGUGUCGGCGGCCGACAACAUGAUACCAAGAGCCUAGAACGAGUGCACUUGUGUGCUUCCGCCCGAUUUUGUUGUUGAGUCGUCAGGUGUCGUAAUUGCGACAAGAUAAUUGGUUAAGAUGACUGACCGAGUAAUUGCGUUUCAGGGACUAAUAUCUCCAAGACGCUACACGCGUAGGACUGCCCCAGCACCGACUCCUGAGGUGCCCGAGCAGGAUGAACCGAGCCUGAUGGAUCAGUUGCAAGCGCAAGUAACCGCGCUGACCAAUGUGGUGCAGCGCCAGGAGACUCGAUUUGAGCGGCUCCAGGAUUUAUUGGAGCUGCAAAUCGCGGCGGCGGCCACGACGGCAAAUGAAGGCGGUGGUCCGCCCGCACCCUCGACUCAUAUACCUAGAGUAGCAGAGGGUGAGGGCAUAGCGGCGGUCCCGGUGACGGCACGCCCACCGCCAACGAUCGUACCACAGGCGGCAUCGGGGUCGGCUACCCCCGAUGUGUCGGCCGAAGACGUGGAGGGAGAGGGCGCAUUGGCGGCUCUUAUCAAGUUCAACAAGUUCCAUCCGCCAACCUUUGAGGGCGAGAAAGUGGAACCGGAGAUCGUCGAGUCUUGGAUUGACUAGAUGGAAACCCUCUUCGAUGACUUGCGUACCUUGGAGAGGGACAAGAUGUAUCUUGCCACCCAUUGCUUGGAGAAGGCGGCGAAGGUUUGGUGGAAGCGAGUCAAACGGGAUUGGCUUCCCGGCCUUCCGCCAAUGCUGUGGGAGGAAUUCAAGCGGGAGAUGUUCACCAACUAUUUCCCAGAUACAUUGAAGCGGGAGCUCAAGGAGAAGUUCCGCAAGCUCGAGCAAGGGGACCGCCCAGCGGCGGAGUAUGAACAAGAAUUCUCCCAUAUUAUCGAUUGCGUCCCUGAUGUUGUAAAGGAUGACCAGGACCGGGCCGAGUGGUUCUUGCGAGGACUUCGGCCGGGAAUCUACAAGGCCGUGCAAAUACUCAAGCUCACGACCUUUGCGGAGGUCUUCGAUCGAGCCCUAUGGGCGGAGCACGGAGAUGCCUACUUUCGGGAGAAGCGUGAGGCUUUGGCCGAUUCUAAGGACAAGGGCAAGAAACGCCAAGGCGGUGGUAGUUCGGGGGGACAGACACGUUACAAGAAACCCCCGAAGUAUCCGCGCGCUCAACAAAGGGGCGGUGGAGUGCGGCGAUGCAUUGUGUGCGACAGAGACCAGCCAGUCUCGCGCUGUGAGCAAGGCCGGUGCAAGUGCUACAAAUGUGAGCAACCGGGGCACUUCAUUCAAGACUGCCCGGGGGGAGGAGCCUCACCUGCCCCAUCGAUUGCAUCGGCGCCGGCGAUUCAGGCUCAUUAUGGAGGAGCUCCACCGACGGCCGUGUCGACUGGACGCGCGAUGAUGUCGCGUCAACCUGAAGUGACGCGAUCGGUCCCGAGCGGACGGGUGUUCGCUGCUCAGGUCCAAGCUGAGGAACCUACGGAGGCGGAGGAGCAUCGCCUUGUGGCAGGUAUGGUUUUAAUUAACGGAGUUCGCUCCAGGGCUUUAUUUGAUACAGGAGCCACGCAUUCAUUCAUAAGUAGAUCAUUCGCAUGCAUGCAUGGCAUACUCAUAGAGGCGAGUGACAGGUGGCGAGUGGAGGGCCCUGGGUCGAUGUUUAACACUUACUCGGAGUGUGCGUCAUGUCCCGUACAAAUAGGCGACUGGAUUAUGCCUAUCCGGACACUGGAACUCAUAAAGCUUGAGGCUUAUGAUAUCAUUCUGGGCAUGGACUGGCUCUCGAAGUAUCACGCAACGAUCGACUGCAAGAGCAGGGUGAUUACCUUCCGUGAACCAGGACAGGAGGAGCUCACAUAUCGGGCUUGUCAAAGCUCGUGCUUCGUCGCGACGGUAUCGGCGACGAGAGCAAGGAAAUUAGUUAACAGCGAUUGCACGGCAUUCUUAGCGACUGUUGUGGAGAUGGAACGUGUAGCUCCAACGUUAGAGGAGCUAUCGGUAGUGCGGGAGUUCCCGGAUGUAUUUCGCACGAAGUUGCCGGGCAUACCACCGGAUCAGGAGAUCGAGUUCGUCAUAGACUUGGUUCCCGGUACCUCACCGAUCUCGAAGGCCCCGUACCGAAUGGCGACGGCGGAAUUGAAGGAGUUGAGGAGUCAGUUGCAAGACCUCCUCGACAAGCAAUUUAUCCGGCCGAGUGUAUCACCGUGGGGAGCACCGGUGUUGUUUGUACGAAAGAAGGACGGAUCAUUUCGACUCUGCGUGGACUAUCGAGAAUUGAACAGAGUCACGAUCAAGAACAAGUACCCACUACCCCGGAUCGAUGACUUGUUCAAUCAGUUGCAAGGGUCGUGUGUGUACUCGAAGAUAGAUUUGCAAUCCGGCUACCACCAAUUGAAGAUCAAGCCGGAGGAUGUGCAGAAAACUGCGUUUCGUACGCGGGAUGGACACUACGAAUUCACGGUCAUGCCAUUUGGACUCACGAAUGCUCUAGCGGCAUUUAUGGACUUGAUGAACCAUGUCUUCAAGAAGUAUUUUUUGUCGUGGUCUUCAUAGACGACAUAUUGGUCUAUUCUCGUAGUGACGAGGAAUAUGCCGAGCAUUUGAGAAUAGUGCUUCAAGUCCUUCGGGAGGAGAAGCUAUAUGCUAAGCUGAAGAAGUGUGACUUCUGGCUUCGCGAGGUCGCCUUCUUAGGGCAUGUGAUUUCCGCGGGUGGAGUUUCUGUAGACCCGAGGAAAGUUGAGGCAAUCAAGGAUUGGCCCCGCCCGAUGAAUGUCACGGAGGUUUGGAGCUUCGUGGGCUUGGCGGGCUACUAUAGGCGGUUUGUGGAAGGCUUUUCCAAAAUAGUGAUUCCACUUACCCGCCUGACUCAGAAAGGCACCAAGUUUGUUUGGAGCGAAGAAUGUGACCGGAGUUUCAAAGAAUUGAAGCAAAGACUGACUUUGGCUCCGGUGUUCGCUCUACCGGUGUAGGGCAAAGACUUCGUGGUCUACAGUGAUGCCUCCUAUCUUGGGUUGGGGUGUGUAUUGAUGCAAAAUGGAAAGGUGAUUGCCUACGCAUCCCAUCAGCUGAAGAGCUAUGAAAAGAACUACCCCAUCCAUGAUUUGGAGCUAGCGGCGGUGAUUUUCGCCUUGAAGCUAUGGAGGCACUACUUAUAUAGUGCCCAUUGUGAGAUCUAUACCGACCACAAGAGCUUGAAGUAUCUGUUCACACUGAAGGAGCUCAACAUGCGUCAGCGGUGGUGGUUGGAGCUGUUAAAGGAUUAUGAUGUUGAUAUCCUCUACCACCACGGGAAGGCAAAUGUGGUCGCGGAUGCAUUGAGUAGGAAGUCAGCGAAGAACCUCGCAUUUGAUGUUACCCAGCAAACACCCCUGUGGCUGGAUAUGGAGCGAUUGGACAUUGAAGUAGUCGCUCCCGAGGUCCCGACUUAGUUGAUGGCACUCGUCGUCCAACCGACCUUGUUAGAGAGGAUCAAAGAUCUGCAAUCCGCAGACCCAGAACUCCAAAAGGUGCGGUGGAACAUCGAGGAAGGGCGUGGCAGCGAUUUCAAGGUAGACACCGAUGGUGCGCUUCGGUUUCGAAACCGAUGGUGUGUGCCGAAAGAUGGACAGCUUCGUGAAUAGAUUCUGCAAGAAGCACACCGAUCUCCAUAUGCCGAUCACCCGGGUGGCACCAACAUGUAUCAAGGACUAAAAAUGCAUUAUUGGUGGCCGGGAAUGAAGAGUGACAUUGGACGCUUUGUAGCAAAGUGCCUAACAUGCCAACAAGUGAAGGCCGAGCGUCGAUUUCCAGCGGGAAAGCUUCAAAGCUUACCAAUCCCCGUUUGGAAGUAGGAGGAUAUAUCGAUGGACUUCGUGGUCGGCUUGCCUCGCUCAACAGGCGGCCACGAUGCAAAUUGGGUAAUUGUGGACCGAUUGACGAAGUUGGCUCACUUCUUGCCGAUCCACACCACGUGGUCAGGCGACAAGUUAGCGCAGGUAUAUCUUGACGAGAUAGUAAGACUACAUGGGGUGCCGAAAUCGAUCGUGUCGGAUCGUGACCCCCGGUUCAUUUCACACUUCUGGAAGAGCCUGCAGGAAGCCCUUUGUAAUAUACCGAAAAUUCGAAAAAUAAAGAUAUCGAACCUUAGUCAAAUUGACCAAAGUGCGAGGAUGGUACACUUCGGAAAGUCCGAAGGUGUUAAAAUGAUCAAAGGUGAGUUACGGGAGGUUUUCGAGAGCUAAAGUUGUGAAAUCUGCAUUCUGCAGUUUUCAGCUCUCGGGGACCGGUCCCUGAUGGGAGAGACCGGUCCCCGAACGCAUAUGAAAUGAGACAGCCGAAAAAUCGGCUAAGUCCUGAGAAAUUAGCUCUCGGGAACCGGUCCCUGCCUAAGAGACCGAUCCCCGAGAGACCGGUCCCCCAAAGAGAGACCGGUUGCACUGCGCGCAGCAGCUCUGGCUGCGCUCGGACGACCUUCGGGAACCGGUCCCUGAAGGAGAGACCGGUCCCCGCCUGCGCGAACAGCCCAGUCCAGGCUGUGUGAAAGAGUGAAAGUUGAGGGGUUUAUUUGCAUUUUUGCAAGCCAUGGGUUAUGUUGGGGGCUAGGAGAGCCUUUUCUCUCAUUCUCUCCCUCACACACACUCUCUUCUCUCCCUCUCUCUCUCUAGAAGGCAAAGGAGAAGAAGAAGAAAGAAAGAAAGGAAGGAAAAGAAGGAAAAGAAGGUGAAGAAGAAGAUCAAGUAGUAAGCCUACCUCUUCUUCUUCCUCCUUGGAGCAACUUUGGGAAAGCUUUGAGGUAACCUUUGAUCCCAAGUAUAGUAAAGCCCUAGAAUGAGCUUUGAAUAAACCUAUAAAUGGUUUUAAUGGAUUGUUUAGAGUCUUUGAAGCUUUCUUUUUGCUUCUUUCGAGAUCAAAGCCAUGGUUUGGCUUGAGGUGAGCUUUGGCCACCUCUAAUGGUGAAAUCCAAACUAGGGUUUGGAAUGAGCUAGGAAUGGUUUAGAUGAACUCUUUAGAGUAUAUUGAAGCUACUUUUGCUUCCCAAUGAGAUCAAACCCUAGGUUUGAUAUAUGUGUUGGAGCUAGGGCACCAAAUUGGGGCUUUUGCUCAUGGGAAUUUCUAAGUGCAAUUGACCCUCUAGAAACCUAAUUGGGGGUAUUUCCGACGCGUUGGUGCGCUCGGAUUAACGUUAUGAAAAGUCUAUAGAAAGAUAUGGGCAAAAUGGCCUAAGUUGGCUUCGUUUUGCCGCAGGUGAAGAACGAGGAGCCUAUAAAUCUCAAGAAAAUCGUCGGAGCACCUAAAUAGACCUACGAGAUGGGUGGUGCUUCUCAAACUCAUUGAACUUCUCUCUAUACCUAACGUGUCAUUCAAUUGAGCAUAUGUUACAUAUUUGUUGCAUGCAUUUUAGGAUAAAGUGAUGAUGAAAAUGUGAUGAUGCAUGAUUGUGAGUACAACUUGCAUAAUAUGAUGAAUGAGAACUAUGUAAACGUCGAAAACCCUAUGUGUAUGCAUGAGAGAAAAGUGAGCACCCAAAGUGAGCAAAAGAACAGAGUGACACAAUGACAUAGAUCGAGUGGCAUUUGAUAAAGUUAAAGUAAAAUGACACUAGAGAUAGUGUGAGGUAAAGAACCAAUGUAAUGUAAAGAAUGAUGAAAAUGACAAUGUGUAAAGUUAAAGUAAAGUGGGGCAAUAAGAACAAGAAAUGUAAAGAAUAAGAAUGCUAAAGAUAGCAAAGGUAAAUGAAAAGUAAAGAACUUGAUUGCUAGAGUGGCAACAAAAAGUGAUGAAAGAACACUAGAGCUAGUGUAAAGUCAAGAUUGAACUUGUAAAUCCUUUGAGUUAAGGAUAUGAUCAUACUUGCUAUGAGUUCCGUGCUUGAGGGCGGUCGCUCCCCCUCGGGCGAUGCGCUCCGGAGUUAUGCAUCACGGGUUGGAGUAAACCCAAAGGACGGUCCUAGCGGGUGAGUUCCUGCGAUGAUGGACUUAAUGUGAAGCAAGUUAAUGUGGCGAAACUCCAGGGUUAGCCUUGAGAUUAAAGAAUAAAGAAGAAAGAAAAAGAGCAAAGAACAAAGAACAAAGAGUAACGUGAAAUGAACAAACAAUUUGCAUAAUCUGCAUUUAUUUAAUGUUGAGCAUAUUUCUGCUUUAUUGUUCAGGCAUAUUAGCAUCAUGUAUAGAUUUGUUACUAUAUGCAGCUUAUUCUUUCUAUUAUACCUGAGUUAGCCCUAGUGGGAAAGUCGGUGAUGUUGAGGCCGAACCCACUGGGAACUUUGUUGUAGUUCUCACCCCACUAUUUCCACAGAGCUGGGACCGAGUGAGCCGGCGAGCGACCGAGGUAAAGGUAUUGCGCCUUAGUCAGAGGCCACCAAAGUUGGGUUUCAUUUUGUCGUAAAUGAUCAUCUUUUGUACAUGAUGGUAAAUAAUGUAAAGAAAAGAAUGUAAUGUGUAUUUUGAGGUAAAUGUGAUGUAAGAAAGAAAUGAUGAAAUGAAAUGUAAGGAAUUCGAAAAUGAACAAGAUGAAUGCAAUGUAUAUGAUCAAAAAUGAAUCAUAGUACAAGUGAAUGUUUAGUUUCCAUUUUCUUUCACUCGUGGCUAUUGCUUACCCUCGUGUAAGCCGUUUGUGUAUGUUUCCGCUAGUGCUUUUCUCUAUUGAUGAAAAUGUACAUGUGAUGAGCCUUGGGCGGAUAGGAAAAACUCUGUCCGUUCGGCGUCUGUUUGGCAUGCUCGGGUCGGGCCAAAUUAGUAUCGGUCCUGGGGCGUGACACCCUUGGCAUACGGCUCGACUUUAGCACCGCAUUUCAUCCUCAGACCGAUGGGCAAACAGAGAGAACUAUUCAAACUCUGGAGGACAUGUUGCGAGCGUGUGUCAUCGACUAUAAGGGAAGUUGGUGUGACCACCUACCUAUGGCCGAGUUCGCCUACAACAACAGUUAUCAUGCUAGUGUGGAGAUGGCUGUCACGCCCCGAGCACGCCUAUUUGGUCGGUUUCGGGCACGCCAACAGACCGCCGAACAGAUAGGAUUUUUCCUGUACUGCGGACAGAGUCUCCCCUAUACAUUCAAGGCGUCGCAAUCAAUACAAUGUAUGAAGUUCCAACCAGGAACACAUUUCAACCAAGGAUUGCAUAAGGAAGUAUCAAAAACAUAAAUCUACUUGCUAUUACAAGCAUUCAUCUCACAUAUUAUAUUUUUGCAUUCUUAGAUUAUAUCACAUUUGAUUCUUUGAUUCUUACUUCCAAAUACAAUCAAAUUAUUACAAAUUUACUACAAGUUUGAUACAUCUUGUUCUUUCAUUUUUCAUAUCCCUAAGUAGCCGACUCAGGGUGCUGCUAUCUGGUCUCAGUGGUAGGGCGCUAACUAUGAAGCUACGCCCUUGCCACGCGCCGCCGCGCCGCUCACGUGUGAACCUGUAACACCCCAAAACAACGUGGGGUGAGAACCAACUCCAUGGUUCCCAGUGGGUACGACCACCCAAGGGAAGAGCUCGACCAUCAGGUCCAAAGGAGGCAAACAACAUGUUAGUCCAAUAGAUAGAUAUGAAAUCAUAAAUCGUGCAACUAACAUUACCAUGCUUUUGCCUCACAACAUGCAAUAUGCAAAUCAUGCAACUCAUAUAGGUAGAUUAAUUAAUUCUACUCUUUAUUCUUAUCCAUUCUUUACCUUUAGUCAUUCUUUACUUUACUAGUUAUUCUUUAGCAUUUACCUUUCUAUAUUCUUCAUUACUCGCCAUUCUUUAGCAUUAGCAUUUCCUUAUUCUUUAUUCUUUAUUCUUUAUUCUUUAUACUUUAUUAAGGGUACUCACCCUUAGUAAUAUUAUACACAUUAGCCUUUCCUUCCUAAGGUUACUUUACCUUAGCCAACUAUGCCAUCCGACUCGAUCUUGAGUCAAUCAACUGUGGAUAGUCCGCGCUCUGUCCGGCUCGAGGUGAAGGAACUCUCACAUGCACCUCAGCCUUCAAUCACAAACCACAUCGCCCAAUGGGUCGCCCAGAGCUGCGUACACCCGUGGUCAGGGAAAGGAACAUGCCGCAUACACCCGCAGCCGAGAUCCCCGAUAGGGAGAGGAACAUGCCACAUGCACCUUGCCACAUGCACCUUGACAAGCCUCGAAGUUCUUCCGGUGGGAGAGGAACGUGCCACAUGCACCCACGAAAAUGUGGGGGCGAAGUCGAUUUUGGCAUUCGGCGAACCGACGUGAAGUCCUCGGCAAAAUCGGGCCGAGCUAGUGUUGAUUUGGGCGAGGAAGGCUAAAGCCAUUUCGUAAAGCUUGCCGAGAGAGAUUUCCGAGGUCUCUACAUCGAUUAAAGGUGGGGGGUGCCAUCCCGAAGCUUUCGAACUCUUUUCUAUGUCUUAGAUUGCAUUUAAUCUCAUCUCUUCAUGUGCAUUGUAGGAUUGCAUAGUAGCUCCAUUCCUUAUACUUUCUAAAAGAUAACCUAGUGUACUUGGAACGCUUGGCAACUUAGAUAGGUGAGGAUUGGGUCGGAACGUGGAUCCUAUGAUGCGAAAGAAAAGAGAUGAACCCAAUUGGGGUGUUGAUGACAUGGAAAGUAGUGUUAUUGUCAAAGAACAAACGAGUGGCAUCCAAAUGUUGAAUGAUAACGAGUGGUAUUAAUGUAGUAUAAAUAACACUAGAGGUCGAUGGACCUAGGGAUAGGCGGAUCCCUUAGAAAAUGCCUUGUGAACAAUGAAUUUAGAAAAGCUAAAUAGCAUUGUAUGAAUGUCGGGAACAAAUGAUCCCGCGAGAAAUGUUGACUCUAGUUGUAGAGCAUCCUCACUGGGAGAGGAUUUGAUUGGGUUGUGGACCCUAGUUAUAGUGCUUCCUCACUUGGAGAGGAUUGGAUUGGGUAGUAGACCCUAGUGAUAGUGUAUCCUCGCUUGGAGAGGAUAGAUCUAGCUCAUAGUCUGCGUUUGGGGAGGUAUAGCCAUCCAAUCCCCACAUGGAGGGGAUUGUCGUCGAGUACUCCGGAGUGUCGUGCGACUAGGACCACUUGGAGGUCCGGACCACAUGGAGGUCUGCAGACGGUCUCGGGCUUGGGUGCACUUGGAGCUCCCUCCCCACUUUGGGAUUGAAGGGUGAGUUAUAGGCGAGCCCUAGGGCCUCGCCACAGAUUGAGUAAAUGGAAAAGUUAAAGGUUUAAAAAUGUCAUUGAACAUUACUAUUUGAACAUGGAUAGAAUUUGUUAGCAUGGUAGAAACCUGUAUUAUAUGAUGCAUGCAUUCAUAUUCAUGAUUAUGGGCAUAAUAGCAUAGUUUUCCUACUAUCGCAUUUACAGCUUUCAGAUACAUAUCUAUCUAUCUAUCUAUCUGUUGUUGCUUGUGCCCACUUGGACCUAGUGGGGAGAUCGGCAGAGUCGGCGGCCGAGUCCACUGGGAACUAUGGAAGAUAGUUCUCACCCCACUUUAUUUCCAGUGGUAGGUACAGGGUUGCCGAGAGAGGACCGCGGCAAGGGCAUCGCGCCCGACCAGCGAGACCGUGAUAGUAUAGUAGCUUUCCUUUUUGCAUUAGUUCACCUAUGUACUGAGAGAGAUUCAUUGUAGGUGAGGAUUUGGGAGAGCCAUGUAUUUUGAGAUGGAAAAUGUAUUCAUUUAAAGAAAAUGAUGUAAAUGGGAAUGAUGAAACUAUUAUAAUAGUUAGUAAAGUACUCUCUUUAUUUCACAUGUGUAUCUUGUGGAUUACUUGCUCCUUGUGUUGUUGGCACUGUUUGUGCCCUUGUGGAUGUAUAUGUUUAGAAUUUAAAUUUCUGGGUAAAUUCUUGUACACGUUCCUGUUGUUGAGCCUUGGGCGGACAGGGGAUGUGCUGUCCGUUCGGCGGUUCGCCGCAGCAGCCGAACCGUGCCAAAUUGGUAGUGGUUUCCGGGCGGGGCAUGACAAUACUUGCAUAGACAAGUUAAACUUGGCAUAUAAUUGAUAAAACUAGCAUAAAUUUCAUGUUACUAACUAUGAUCUACUUGAUAACUAGCACCUGAUAUUAUACUUAGAUCCCGACCUAUAGGAAGGUAGAGGACAUUCCAUAUAUGUUUGAGACAUGACAAUUGAAAAUCUUGUAUUAUGGAUCAUGUUUGCUUGCCAUUGUGCUCAUUCGCACAUGCUUUACAUGCUUGUGAGGGUCGCUCCCCACAAGCCGGCACUUCGCAGUUCACCUAUAUAACACAUUGAAACCCGAAAGAAAUUAUCGAACUUUACCCAAAUUGGUUACAGUUGUCGAGGGAAAUGGAUGGGCAAGUUCUAAUUAACAUUCCAACUAUGUUGGAAGGGUUAAAAAUGAGUUUAAGAGGUGUUAGAAACGUUUUAGCAUCGGCCGGCGCGAAACAGAAUUGAAAACGACGCAAAACUGCAUUCUAGAGCAAAGUGUACCGGUACAACCAGCGAGUUGUCACCGGUACAGCCCUGCAAACCGAGAAAAGUAAGCUCUCGGGUUUGAGAAAAAUACGAAGUGUACCGGUACACUUUGAAAAUGUACCGGUACAAAUGCUACGAAACUGAGAGAUCUGCUCUCCGGUUGCCUCUGCGCAGAAAAUGUACCGGUACAAAAUCCCGUGUACCAGUACACUUUGGUCUGGCAGCAAAGAAAGGACUUGAUGCAAAUAAGAAAGUUUGGGGGGCUUAGUUGCUAUUGUUGCAACCCUUAUAUGACCCAGCCCUUCUCCUUUCACAGCAGCAGCCACCCUUUCACUCUCCCUCUCAUUUCCCUCUUUCUCUCUCUAGAGAGCUUGGCCUAGGGCUUGGAGGAGAAAGCUUGGAAGCUUGGAGAAGGUGGAUUUUGGAGGUUGUGGUGGCUCUAGAAGCUCUCCUACAACAAGGAUUUGGGGAUAGCUUGUAGCCAAGGUGAGUUUAUACAUCAACUCCUCUAGGGUUAGGAUUUUUAUCUUAGGUUUUGGAGUUUUGGUCUCUUUAGAGACUUUCGAAGUAUAAUAGAGACCUUAAACCCAUGAAAAUCCAUGGUUUUUCAAGGUGCUGUCAUGGUGGUUAGCUAGGGUUUAUAGUAGAUGCCCUAGGGAUGUUUGGAAAGGCUUGGAAAUGGUAUUAGAAAGCUUCCUAAUUGAAUCUAAGCUAGCUUUUGCUUAAGAAUGAGAUCAACUUAGGAAGAAACCCUAUAUGACAUUGUUAGGGCUUGAAAAUUAGAGCUUUUGCCUCCGGUUGUUUUCAAGGUAAAUUGACCUCUUGAAAUCCUAAUUAGGGGUAUUCCCGACGCGUGGGACAACUCCGUUUAACGUUACGAAAAGUCUAGAUAUGAGAUCUUGUGUAUAGGGCCUAAUUCGGCACUAUUUUGGGUAUAGGUCGCGGGAGAGACGUCCUAAAAUCACGAGUCGAAUUACAACCCUUCUAUACUAUUUGAGGUGGGGGGUGCACGCCGGAAUCAUCGGAUUCCCCUUUAUGUCUAUUUUCACCUUUGUUGAGCAUACUUGUAUAUAGAAUCAUUCAUACAUGAUAGGGUAAUUUUACAUGUGAAACUUGGUUAGACAUCAUUUAUAUACUUCUAAUGUAGUUGAACAUAGAGAAUGAUAGAACCAUAAUGGACAUGUAUGGUAGACUCCCUAAAGAUUGUAUGAAUGUGAGAUUUUGACUUUGACAAUAGUAAAUAAGGGUGGCAUUGACAAUAGAGACAAGAUUGGCAUCGAGAUAUAUAUUGUUAAACCUAGUUUAAACAAUAGUGGCAUUGUGACAAGAAUGACUUAGAAAGUGGCAUGAAUAAAUAGGUAGAAAUCUAUUAUGAUGACGGCAUUGUGACUAGUCGGGCCCGGAUCGACCAAAUUGGCGAUAGCGGGACGUGAUACUCCGGGAGUGACUGAGCUAAGAUCCGUACGAUAUUGAGAAAGACAUACGCUUAUUGAGAUUCUCUUACAUAGCAUGUAUUUCAUACUACAUAUGCUGGGCGACCAAAUAAAGAGGAUGAGUGAAUGGAUCCCUACUUCCUCAUCGUGUGAGUUCUUAUGGACAUUAUUUUGAGGCGAUGUCCUAUAUAUGUUAGAUGCCCUUAGUGACUUUUGACUAUGUCAUUAAGUGAAAGAAUUGAUAUUGCUACUUUAGCAUGUUUUCUACGGCUAUGAGUGAUGCGGCUUUAUGGGGCAUUGCUUAGAAAGCAAAUAGUUCUCAACUUACUUGCAUAAGGGCUCAAGGAAGACUAGUUGAAUUACAUUCAGAUACUUUGACUCAUUGUCGACAAGUUGUGUCGCUUCAGCAUAGCGAAACAAUCAUGAGUAUAGUGUCAUAAUAUGCGCAAUAGAGGUUAGCAUGGCUCUUUGAGGGAUUAGAGAUGCUGAACCUGAUGUAAUUCAAUUGUCUAGGGCUUCACGAGUCUAAUAUUUCUUUUUAAGGGUUGAUGUCUCUAUGCUGGUCGUAUGCGGUUUCUAGUAUAGAGCUCCUAAAAUGCAGGUUGACUCGGCGGUCGCACUGUUCAUUCCCUGUAUGAAUAGAAUUAAUAGUGGUGUAAUGUUGAGGAAGUGGUUACGAUGGCAUCGAUCCUGCUAUGUGCGAGUGGGAGAUGUUGGCAUUCGGUUAAAUCGAAUCGGGUGCGCCCAUAAUCGGGCUCGAUCCGACGGAUAUUAUGUUAUCUAAUUGGAUUAGGAUUAAUCUCGCUUUCAAAUUGGAAAGCUAAUUAGAGAUAAAUUCUAAUCAUAUUAGGAUAACAAUUAAUAACCAAUUUGGCCUUAUCUAUUACGCUAUUAGGAUUUUGGAAUCCCUUAUAAAUAUACGGGCGAUCCCACAUAAAACGAUAAUGGAAAAAGAAAGAGAAAUAAGAAAACAAAAGAGAGAAACCACAUCCUCCAUUAACCUAUUAUUCUAGAGGGACUUGGACGGUGGAUUUGCGAUCGUGCUCGUUUGUAGUUCGAUCCACCACGGGUUCGGAGCUUUAGAGGACCUUCAAGGACGAUCCAAGCACAUGUGAAUCAAUCUCUACGAUCCGGGCUCAUCGCGUUGUAGUGCGAAUCACUUCCGCAAAAAGGUACGAACGGAUACUUCCGCUGCGUUCUACAGUUUGAGACAUGACGAUUGAGAACUUUGUAUUAUGGAUCAUGCUUGUUUGCCAUUGUGCUCAUUCGCACAUGCCUGUGAGGGUCGCUUCCCACAAGCCGACACUCCGGAGUUCGCCUACGCGACAUUGUGCUCGCUCGUGCGGGGUUGGGUGCCGAAGUAGAUUGCCGUGGAGAGUGCAUGCUACCACGGAGCCAUUAGGCGCGGCGCAAGCCGGACUACCUUAUGUAGGUCCUUAUGAAUUGAACAAAGAUGCUAAAUUGUAUUAGUAAAAUGGUCACUACUAGAUAGGGCACAUUUAUGUCAUGAUAUAGUAUGCUUACUCGUAUAGAGUAGUUCAUGUAUUUGUUGCACUCUGAUAGUUGCAUUGGUAGUAUAGUAAUUUUAUUGUUCACUAGUUGCUUAUUAUCCCUAUCAUAUAGUAAUCAUAAGUAUAGUAAUUUUAUUGUUCACUAGUUGCUUAUUAUGCCUAUCAUAUAGUAAUCAUACAUGCUUCUUAUUUGCAUUUCAGAAACCUAGUGGUGUAAUUCGCUGAGGUCGGCGGCUUACCCACUGGGAACUAUUGACUAAUAGUUCUCAUGCCCUAUUUAUUGUUGUUUUAUUUACAGAGCCAUCCACCGUGGGAGAGGUUAGGGAUUGCGGCAAGGGAGUCGCGUUUAGCUAGGCAUAGCUUGGAGUCCUGCUAGGUGAUCACCUCUCUGUUUUGGUUGUGUGGACGAGGGUGAUGUUUUACUCGUGUAUAGAGACUACCACAUGUAUAUAUAACUGUUUUGUGACCGUGUGAUGUAUGAGUGUUGUUGGAGAGUUAUAUUUACAGUUGUAUACUCUUGUUUCCUAUUGUCUUUAGUAGAUAUUGUAUAUGUUACACUCUUGCUUUUAGUACUUCUAAUAUAUUUUGUACAUUCUAUGCUCUGAUACCAUGUUAGAAUCUUCUAUUGAUUGUUACUCUUCUAGCAUGGUUUUGGUAGACGCCAUAUAUACUUUAGGUAUAUGGCGGGUCUGUACAUAUACCGGAUAGUCUUCCGCUAGAACCCGGGCGUGACAAUACAUGUACAUAUAUCAUAUAUUUAAAAUCCUUUAGUAGAGAUUUGAAAAUCUAAUUUAAUCAAUAGAAUUUAAAUUAUUAACUUUGUAUGUCAUAUCUGUUUAAUUAAAUUUUGAUAUCAAAAUAUUUAUCAUUUAAUAUAAGUUGUGGUGUAUAGAAUGUUAAUAUAUAUCAUGUGCAUGUAACAUUUUAAUCAAAAAAGUUAUUCAUAGAACGGUCUCUAAAACUUUUAGGGCGUGUUUGGUUCGCUUCUUUUUCACCCUGGAAUCAGAAUCGGAAUGGAUGAAUCCGUUUGUGACUGUUUGGUAUGCGGGAGUCCCAUUCCGAUUCCAAUUCCCAAGUGGAAUGGGAAAUGCCCCAGAAGUUGAAUCCGGCCGGAAUGGAUAUUUAUUCGGAUUAAAUUUAUUUUUUCAACUUUUUUUAAUUAAAAUAUGAGUUUAAAUUUACAAAUUAAAUUUAUAAUUUUAAAUUUUAAUUUGAAUUUGAAUUAAAAAUUAAAAUUUAAUCAAGUAUUUUGAAAUUAACUUAUAAAUUUGAAUUUAAAUUAAAUUUUAAUUUAUAUAAAAUUUUAUUCAAAUUUUAUUUAAAACUUAAAUUAAAUUUACGGAUUCAAAUUAAAAUUUAAAUUGUAAUUUUAUUUGAUUGAAUAAAUCAAUAAUUUUAGUUUUAUAUUUUGAAUUAUCCACUCAACUUCAAGUUUAAUUUUUUUAAAAAAAUAAAUUUAAAAUUUUGACAUUAUUUCAAAUUUUGAUCUAAAUUUUUAAUAUUAUAUUUUAAAUUUGAAUUUAAAUUAAUAUAUUAGAAAGAUAAAGUUAGUAUAUAAUUUGAUUGUUUUUAUAAUCUACCUGAACCAAACACCGACAAUGAGAAUAAUUUAUUCGAUUUCGAUUCAGAUAACAAACCAAACAGAAUUAGGCAAUGAGUCAUUCCGAUUCCGAUUCUAGCUUAUUCCGAUUCCGAUUAUGAUUCCGAUUCCGACUUCGAACCAAACGCGCCCUUAAAUCUGAUUAAAUUUUAAAUAAAAUCGUUAGAAUAAUGUAACUAUUCAAAAUUAAAGAAAAUAUUAGUAAAUAAACGAGUUAUUUUUGUAAUGUAUAUAACACUAUUUGAUAAUAUUUGUAUUUAGUUAUAAUUUAUUAAUCUUACAAGUUUAAUAAUUAUAUAUUUUAAUUAAUUAAAAUACGAUUUAUCCGCUGCGAAAGUUGGGGCCUGCAUAGUAUUUGUUAGGUCCAUAGGGAUGUGGUGUAGCCAAAGUUAGUCUAUUUGCUGUCAAAGUAGCUUAGGCAUGGACUAGCUAGUUGCGACACUUGUAAUUUAUUUGGGCUGUCAAAGUAGUCUAUUUGCUUGUUGGUCCACCGUCCUACACGAGAGAGAGAGAGAGAGAGAGAGAGAGAGAGAGGGAUGUGGUGUAGCCAAAGUAGUCUAUUGCUGUCAAAGUAAGAGCCAUGUUUAUUGGUGUGCCACAUCUAGGGCUGCAAAUGAGCGAGCCGGCUCGCGUUCGACUCGCGUUCGACUCGAUAUUUGGCUCGCGAGCUCGACUCGAAUUAAAUGAGCUGAGCUUGAAACAAAAAAGGCUCGAAAUUUAUUUCAAGCCGAGCUUGAGUAUUACUCGGCUCGCUUCGAAUUAGGCUCGAAAAGCUCGAGUAUAUAUAUAUAUAAUAUAUAUAAUAUAUAUAUAGUAGAGCUACUAUGCUAUCGAAUGUAUAGAGGAUAUGGUGCUUUCGAUUUUUUGAUUCUUAGAUCAGGGCCCUUUAAUAAUUUCUUUGAAAUUAAUACUAGGGAUAUAUUUAAUCCUGGGGGGGACCGCAAUCAUCCCAAUCAUACAAUUCUUAAUCAAAGGAUAAAAUUCGAAAACAUCAAAUCUCUAUAUUUUCGAUAGCAUAUAGUUCUACACUAUAUAAUAUAUAUAUAUAUAUUAAAAAAUAUAUAAAUAUAAUAUAUUUUAAUUAUAUAUAGCGCUGAGUGAAUAUCUGAGUUUUUAAAAAUUGGGUCCAAUAUUGUUGGCCCAUAAAAACAAAGCCAACAGACAAAUAAAAGAGCAAAAUUUCACUAAAUUUAUAUAUAUUUCCUUUCUUUCUUUCUUUCUUUCACAGAACUCUAAAUUUUUAAUAUAUUUCUCUCUUUCUCUUUUUCUGUCUCUCACCCUAAGCAGCCAAGCCGAAAGCCCUCAAAAUUACCAAGUAACAAACAGUAUAUGUCUGCCGUUGCCUACCUUGCUAUUAAUUGUAAGCUUGAGAAAAUAUACAGAAUAUUUAAAGUAAAAAAUUAUUAUUCAUAUAAAAUUUUAAUUUUUGUUCUAUAUGAUUGGAGAGUUUAAUCCAAUAUUUAUCUAUAUAAUUUAUUUAUUUUUUACUGCAUAAAUGAAAAUGAAUAAUAUGGAGAUUGAAGGCGGAAGAAAAGACAUGUGAGACUGAAAAGAUUAGAUAUUCAACUCAUAAAUUAUUUUUUUCGUAUUAUAAUACUAUAUUUUAUAUAAUUAUUUUGUACUUUGAACUAUUAGACAUAUUUUUGUAUCAAAUUAUAGAUAAUGUUCUAUACAAAUUAAACUAUUGAUCGUAUGAUGUUGAGAAUUUCAAACGGCUCGUUUAGGGCUCGAGCUCGCUCGACUCGAAAUUAGGCUCGCUCGAGCUCGGCUCGAAUUAAUUUCAAUCCAAGCUUGAGCUUAAAUUUAAGUUCGAAAUUAAUUUCAAGCCGAAUUUGAGCCGAGGUAAGCUCGCUCGAGCUCGGCUCGUUUCCACCCCUAGCCACAUCCCUCGCUCUCGCAAUCGAGAAGGACGGUGGACCAACAAGCAAAUAAUGUGGCACUAGCUUAAUUUGCAGAAGCGUGAUGCACUAUUUAAGUCUUUAUAAAGAUCAAUAUGGCUGUAGAUAAUCACCAGUAGCAAGAUCUUUAUUUCAAGAGGAUAGUACAUUGGUCUGCUUCAUUUUAUUUCCUUUUGUGGUAAGUUCUCCUCCGUCUCACCGUCCUUUUUCUUUCUCCUUCUUUGAGCAUAAAGCAUAGACUAUAUACGCUUCCGCUCCGUUUAUGUAUACUAUUAUCAGUUUAAUAUCAGGUAUGCCUCACCUUAAUUUCCAUCCCCACUUUUCUAUCACAGUCCUCGCAGACCAUAAACGAAAGUGGGUGCGCGCGUCUUACUUACGACGAGUAUAUAAAACAGAAACAAAAGAGUUGAUACAAAAGAAGCUGAGAAUCAAACUAUCCACCCGGAAAGUAUAGUUUCAGGUCUGUAAAAAGUUCUCCACUCACUUAUUACUCUCGUUUGUGUAACUUUCAUAGUUACACAAAUCGAUAGAGCCUAAGACUUUUGUUUCCUUUAACUUUAGGUUUGUCUGCUGGAAAUAUUGGAACUACUCCCUGCCAAGAUGGAAUUCAGCAGAUCGGCAGAUAUCAGUGAAUCGUCAGAAAGAGAGAGAGGCUGGGUAGAACUGAACCAGCUCACAGCUAGAAGUGCAGCAGGAGUGUCCAACUUCGAUGUUUUCAGAGAAGCAGAAUGCAUCAAACAAGAAUCAAGACAAUUCAUCAAUUGCGAUGCUGGUUCUGCUUUGGAACAAUCGACAGAAGCUGAGAAGGAAAUGUAUUCCGGCCUUGCCGACAAACUGAGAAUAGAAAUGGAAGAAGCGAAUGUUGAGCGGGUGUUUAUUGAUCUUGCUAGAGCCAAGGCUGAGAGAGAGUAUACAGAAAUAAAAGCCCAAAGAGAGGCAGAGGCUGCUCAAUUUGAUAGGAAAAUAGAAACCACUAGUAGUAAGAUCAGGUCGCUAUCCAAAGAACUCAAUGCUGCCAAGGAGCUCGAAGCGGAGCUUAUGGCAACAUAUCAGGAUUUGAAUGCCCUGCAGAAUGAGAUGGAGUUCAUAAAAGUGAUGGAGAGAAGUUCUGAGAACAAGCGUUUGAGUGAUAAACUCGAGUUAGCGUCAUCUCAGGCAGAAUUGGAGGCGGCAAGGAAAGAGCUUCUAUCUCUCCGAGAAGAGGGAUUUAAGCUAAUGGCUGAAAUGGAUAAUAUAAGAGGAGAAUCAAUAGAGAUUGCUGAAGAGAGAGAGCAGUUGGUGAAGUCUGGAAAGAAAAGAGAAGCCGAUCUUCGGUCCGUCAACUCAAAUCUUCACAAAGCCAUUUCUAAACUUGAAUUGGCAGCCUCAGCCGAGAAGAGGGCUGGCGCUGUUGUUGCGAAUCUUUCAACAGCACUGCAGCAACUUCAGUCGGAUGUUGCCGUGGCGAAGCGAGAAGCGGAGUUGACUAACCAGGAAGUAUCAGCAAUACAGGAAGAGACUGCGCAGAUGUACUUGACCAUUAAAUUUUAUGAAGAAAGACUCCGAGAUGCGGCAAAGGAACUCGAAGCAGGUAAGGAGUUAGAAGCGGUGGCUCUCGAGCAGUUACAGACACUAACCGAUAGUACAAUGAGAGAGAGAGCGAUCGCCGCUCUUUUUUGUUCGACGAUAACUCUGUCCAGGUUUGAGUAUUACUAUCUGAUCAACCAUGCAAGGUCGGCCCAAGAAGUUGCUGACAUGAAGGUGGCUGCGGCUGAGGCAUGUACCGAAGCAAUUCAAGCUAGAGAGAAGGAGAUGCACUUUUUGAUGGCCGAAACUACUCGGAGGGACGACUUCAUGAGGCGGAAGAACAAGAAGACAGAGGAAAGACUGACGAGCUCGAGAGAACACGAUCAGGAGAGAGAAUUAGCAGAGCCAUUAAAGCCUAAGCUUGCGAUAGCAAUGCCAAGAAGGUCGAUUACUCUAGGCCGUGGUGGUUUAGCCGCUAUGCAACCGAGAAGAUCUAUUACCUUAGCUGGUGGCGUAGCAGUAGCGGGAGAGUCAGGAACGGUAAGAAAGGUUAGAAGGUCAUCAUCACUUUUGCCGACGACACGGAGCAGCACCACCAGACCUCAGCCAGCAUUCGCCUCCAGGAGAAAGGUGGUGGUGCACAGACUUGUUAAUUUCUUGAGUUGGAGAGUUAGAAAGAACUAGGGAGGACAAUGUAUUCUGGGAGCUUAAUUUGGAUGUUCGAAAUCUCUUCUGGAGUGGUGUAGUGCAACGUAUAUUGCUCGUUUCUUCCUUUACUUGUUACCCGUUGUCGCCGAGCAAAUUAAUUACGGCCUGUACAUGUUUGUUUGAUUUUAUGUACAAUGAUAUUUCGUGUAAAAUUAACUCUCGGGUUGAAAAUUUAUUCUGGCUGGCUUGUUUGAUUUCAUGUAAAAUGAUAUUCCGUGUAAAAUUAACUCUCCAAUGGGAACCUUGUUUCAGCUAAGCUUGUUUACUUUCAUGUUAAAAUGAUUUUUCAUGUAAAAUCACCUAACAAGGUUUUUUUAAGCCUGAGAAGUGUGAGCCAAAAACAAAACCUAAGAGCAACGGGAAGAACAGUAGUGUUAAGAUUGCCAAUUCUACGGGCCGAACUGUACGUUGUCCGUUGAUAUGGAACCUCCUUGUUGUAUAAAGCGCGGGACCUUUCUCAUCGAGCGGUGCACGCCUGCUGCGUGCGGUUGGUGCGCGAGCCUAUUCAUCUCAUCCAUUGUGCAAGAAAAAAAUUUCGAUAACCCAAAAGGAAUCGAUGCUUGGCAACCUUUACAAGGUAUCAAGUUUGAUUAUGGGCAACUCAACUUGAACCAUAUAAAUAGAGCAGUGCUAUCAAUACACUCAUAUUAUAGUGUAAAUCUUAUAUUUUAUUCAUCCAAAAUAUUAAUAUUUUCACACUAGUUUUAUCCAUUUUUUUAAUAUUAAGAUUUUAAACAAAUACCCGAAUCCCUUGCAUCGAUGGAUAUAGUUGUUUCUUAUAUAAAUAUAAGAUUAGGUAAAAUGUAUGAAGGCAUCCUCACGUACGGAAGUUUGAAAUGACCCCCUUGGCUUCAAACAUUUUACUUUUUCUAUUCGAGGCCUAGCUUAUUUAAUAUUGUUGUUAUAUUUCCAUUUAACUUAAUAUAUUGAUGAAUAUUUUUUUUCUUAUUAUCAUGAUUGGUUAGCUUACAAUUCACCCGACUAAUUGGCAGAUAAUAAUUUUAAAAACUAAAAAAUAAAAAAAUCAUUGUAUAGCAAACAAACAUCUUAGAUAUAAGAGUUGCAAACAAUUCACUUUCCUUCUCAGACUUCUUACACCUUAUUAUAUAGAAAUUAUAUUAGAAAAUUAAAAAAAUUGAACGUGAUACAAAACUACUCCUUCACCUGCAAUUUUUUCACUUGAGAUUUUUCUAGUUAAUUAUUUUUUAAUUUGUUGGACUAAUUGUUAAUUAUUUUAGUUUUAUUUACUGUUUCACAACAAGAAAAUGGCUACAAUGAAAAAAAAAAAAAAUCCGUAAGCAAAAUUCUUAACUAAUAGAAUUAGUACGUGGCCGCAAAUACUAUCAUUAUGAAUGUCUCCACAGUUAAUAGAAUUAGUGCGUGGCCGCAAAUACUAUCAUUAUGAAUGUCUCCACAGUUAACUCAACAAGGAGUCCUAGGGAUAUAAAAUUACUCGUUUGGUUUAACACUAAAACUAUAGUAAGAUAGUAAUAUACAUGAUUUUCUAGAAUUAUUCCUAUAUUUAAAAUUUUAUUUAUAUAUAUAUAUAUUUAUCACUAAAAUUUAAAAAAAAUGAGUAACUCUGUUUGCAAAGUUAAAAAAUAUUUAAAAGCAAAAUAAAAAAAUGGUCUUAAUAUAUAUAUAGAGAGAGAGAGAGAGAGAGAGAGAGAGAGAGAGAGAGAGAGAGAGAGAGAGAGAGAGAGAGAGAGAAAGGGAGAGAGUUGAGCUAUAAUACUAUUAAUAGUAUUUGCCUCCCUUUGCUAUCAAGUUUGUUGUUACAUUUUUAAUACAAAUUAAUAACGCAAUAUUUGCACAUAAGUCCUCUUAUAAUUUACUAACUAUUAGUAAGUCCUCUCUAGUAACAUUUACAUCUUAAUACCACCAAUUUGUAACAAUUACAAAUUAGUCCAAUUAUCAACAUAUUGGCAAUUAGGUCCUCCAGUGAUUCAAUAAUUGCGAUCUAGCUAUCCGAUCAAUCACAACCUCUUAUGUGUGUGACCCCAUAGGUUCUAUUCUAUCUGGUAGUGAGAUAUAUUUUGAUCACUACCAACAAUAUCACUAAAACUCCUUUCAGUAGAUCGUAACAAUUCCAACUCAGCCCAAUGAGAAUUAUCGAUCAUCUAGAUAAUUCUCAUGAGUCUCACAAUCCACCAGUGAUGCCUAACAGCAUGUAGUGGCAUUCCAGUAGAAUGGAAUAUUAAACCUCUUGGUGCAGUUACCGUGUGAUAUAGUCCUUCUGUCGUGAGUCCCGACUAGACGGAGGUCGUGGAAUAACUCGUCAAACCCCAUCGUCUGUCAUAUGUUAAGUUUAUUCGACUCGAGUUUCUAAUAUUAGAAACCCUUUUCUUCUAUUAACUCUGCCCUGGUCAAGGUCAUCUAAACUCGGUCUCAUAAAUCACAUAGGAUUAACGCCCCUAUCUAUCAAGGGAGAUAGAUUCCAUCUAAGUGCGCACCCUAUUCCUACAAUGAACCUACUGUAGCCAACAUGCACCGCAAGGACCCGAAUGGCUAGGGACCAAGUGUAUGUACAGUCAAACUACAGUAACCUCAUUGUGAAUAGCCGAGGCACCGCAGUUCAAAGGACCAGUCACACUACUGCAACAUUGAGUAAGUCACUGACGAGUGAGUAGACAUCCAAGUGACUUCUCGCGUUGGUCAGGCUCGGUACCCUUGUUCUCUAACAACCACUUGCAUAUUCGCUUCAGUGUCCGCACAUUGUCGACUCGAGACUCGUCUACCCAAAAGGGAAGCGACCUAUACACCAAUCUCAUCGGAUCAAUUACCGUCCCCGUGAUGAUCCAUUGAUCGGGCGCUUUUAGGAAUUAACUACCAAUGACACAUGUCUCAAAUUCUCAACUCUUGAGAAUAUAUGUCAUCACCUUAUUAAUUCCUUGGACGAUUCAUGGACACAAACACAACAUGAAUAGAAUUAAGGACCCAAAUAUAUUCAUAAUAUUUUAAAAUCAAAUACAAAUUUAUAUCCUAGAAAGAAUAUAUGUGUCGGCCUGGUUGGCUUCUAGGGCAUACAUCUAACAAAUGACACUAAUGAAAGUUAGAGAAUCCAAGUACAUGUGAGAGUUGGCAUUAUGACAUAGUAACCUUAGAGUUAAGGGUCAUAUGAGCAUUGUAUCUUUAUAGUUAAUGAUUGGAUUGAACUUGGCAUCCUUAUAGUUAAGGAUUGGAUUAUACUUGCCUUACGUCUUGGCUCAGAGGGUGGUAACUUGUCACGCCCCGGGACCCAGCGGAAGCCCGCCCGGCACGUGCCCAGACCCGCCAUACGUCUAAAACAUAUAAGGCGUCUAAAAACAACAAUAAUAAAAGUAAGAAUAAAAGACAUCUAGGAGUAUCAGAGCAUAAUAAAGUCUAAAUGCUACAACAAGGGAUAAGGAUAAAACUGUAAAUCCACUAAAUAAAACAUAAAGUGAUACAAGAAAAUUCCAGAUACAAGUGCUAUAGGUAGAUACAUAGAUGGUCUCUAUACUUGGAUACAAAAACCUCUCACUCUCUCAACUACAAAAAGAAAGAGUAAACCACCUAGGCAAAGUACCGCUCCUCGCUAGCUAGCUAAGCGAUCCCCUUGCCGCGAUCCCGUGCCUCCGCCGAUGCCGAAGGCUCUGAAAGUAAACCAUAAAACAAGGGCGUGAGAACUAUUAAAAAUAGUUCCCAGUGGGCAAUUACUGACUUCAG
rnacentral:lncRNA from 1 species